GAUGAACGCUGGCGGCGUGCCUAAUACAUGCAAGUCGAGCGAACAGACGAGGAGCUUGCUCCUCUGACGUUAGCGGCGGACGGGUGAGUAACACGUGGAUAACCUACCUAUAAGACUGGGAUAACUUCGGGAAACCGGAGCUAAUACCGGAUAAUAUAUUGAACCGCAUGGUUCAAUAGUGAAAGACGGUUUUGCUGUCACUUAUAGAUGGAUCCGCGCCGCAUUAGCUAGUUGGUAAGGUAACGGCUUACCAAGGCGACGAUGCGUAGCCGACCUGAGAGGGUGAUCGGCCACACUGGAACUGAGACACGGUCCAGACUCCUACGGGAGGCAGCAGUAGGGAAUCUUCCGCAAUGGGCAAAAACCUGACGGAGCAACGCCGCGUGAGUGAUGAAGGUCUUCGGAUCGUAAAACUCUGUUAUUAGGGAAGAACAAAUGUGUAAGUAACUAUGCACGUCUUGACGGUACCUAAUCAGAAAGCCACGGCUAACUACGUG
rnacentral:rRNA from 1 species